AUGUGCGGCGGUUGCCGCCAAGCACCCGGACCCGCAGGGGCUCGUGCAGGGGUGGAAGCUGCUUUCGCCUGCCGUGGAAGCUUUCCGCUCCGCGCCAUCGCAGAGGAGGCAGCACGACGACAUAGUCCUUCGCGCAGAGAAGCUCUUGAAGGCCAAUGGGGCAUCCGAUCCUGUCCUCCAGCUGAAAAAAACCUGGGAACUCGCGAGGAGGCGGCUUAUAGAAGCAAAUGCCAAAUUUUGUGCAGAACCCAGGGAGCUGCCUCCUGCCCGGGCGCCCAUGAAGCGAAUGCUCCUUGCGAUGAUCCAUGGAUUCUACCUGGAGGCGAUGGGCAGGCUGCCCACGGCCGAGCUGCGCAAUCAGUAUCACCAGAGCAUGAUCUGGGGUGGCUACUGCUAUGGUCUGCUGUCUCUAAUAUCAUUGUCAACACCAUCUGGUGCGAGCAAAACUUCCCACAAAGCAAACAAUUUCCGUUAACCAUGAUCAGCACCAAGUUGCUGUGGCGGAUUGCAGCGCAGUCACUCUACGGCCUCAUAUCCUUCCUGUGCACUCGAUACCGGGGUCUCACUCCCGACCUAGCCAUGCAACGCCUGCUGGUGGCCGGGGCCGACUUGCGAGCUGCUGAUCCCAGACUUUCUACUACGCCCAGUGCUACCGGAGAAACGCGUCUAAACUUUUCUGGUUGUGGUCAGGUUCUCAACAUUCCUGACCCUUCUCUUACUCAGUGCUCCGCGGUUGAAGACAGCAUCCCGUCUGCUAGUGUUCCUGAAGCAUAUACGGCCGCGGCCACCGCGGCACGUCACUGCCACCCUCUUGCACACAAAGAGUUCCUGGCAUCACUGAGUGGGGUGAGUAAACCCGCCGAGUUUGACUCAGAGGUGUCAGUGGAUGGUCUGAGCGAGUCUCUCUCAAAAGUGUUGCACAUGCGGGAUGGUGUCCCACUAUCCUCUCAGGAUCUUAGUUUGCUUUGCAAGAUAUUAGAUAGGUAUCCCUCCUCUGCUCGCCAGCAACGGGAUCUAGCCCCUACGAAGGUCAAGAAGGGAUUCUACUAUCAAGUAGGUAUAUGCAGCAGUAGGUUCUGGGGUCAGCAUAACCGAGUCACCAGCAUGGCGACAAAUGCAUUGGAGAAAUUCAACAAUAUAGCUGCGGAGGGCCACCUGUUUGAACUUCAUAUCAUCUGUGCUGUCAAUGAGUUCGUAUCUGGUCCGGUGCCCAGCGAGGGUGAGAAUGUUCGAGACUACAACCCAUGGACUUUUCAAAAGUAUUAUCACACCCAUAUCAACUUUCUGGCAGUUAGCAAAGCCCGCCCAUAUGAUCCUCCAACGCUCUUCUUUGCUGAAUGUGGAAAACACGGUGCUGAUACAUGUUGGUGUGUCCCCGUGAUUCCGCAGAAACCAGAAGCUGGUAUGCUCUAG
rnacentral:rRNA from 1 species